rnacentral:rRNA from 1 species
CCUACGGGUGGCAGCAGUGAGGAAUAUUGGUCAAUGGACGCAAGUCUGAACCAGCCAUGCCGCGUGCAGGAAGACGGCCCUAUGAGUUGUAAACUGCUUUUGUACGAGGGUAAACGGAGACACGCGUACCUGUUUGAAAGUACUGUAUGAAUAAGGAUCGGCUAACUCCGUGCCAGCAGCCGCGGUAAUACGGAGGAUCCAAGCGUUAUCCGGAUUUAUUGGGUUUAAAGGGUGCGUAGGUGGGCGGUUAAGUUAGAUGUGAAAUCUUGCGGCUCAACCUCAGAAUUGCCAUUGAUACUGGUAGGCUAGAGAGUAGUUGCGGUAGGCGGAAUGUGUGGUGUAGCGGUGAAAUGCUUAGAGAUCAUGCAGAACUCCGAUUGCGAAGGCAGCUUACCAAGCUGCUACUGACAUUGAGGCACGAAAGCGUGGGGAGCAAACAGGAUUAGAUACCCCAGUAGUC